rnacentral:rRNA from 2 species
AGUCGGUCCCAAGGGUUGGGCUGUUCGCCCAUUAAAGCGGUACGCGAGCUGGGUUCAGAACGUCGUGAGACAGUUCGGUCCCUAUCCGUCGUGGGCGUAGGAAAUUUGAGAGGAGCUGUCCUUAGUACGAGAGGACCGGGAUGGACACACCGCUGGUGUACCAGUUGUCUUGCCAAAGGCAUCGCUGGGUAGCUAUGUGUGGACGGGAUAAGUGCUGAAAGCAUCUAAGCAUGAAGCCCCCCUCAAGAUGAGAUUUCCCAUUACGCAAGUAAGUAAGAUCCCUCAAAGACGAUGAGGUAGAUAGGUUCGAGGUGGAAGUGUGGUGACACAUGGAGCUGACGAAUACUAAUCGAUCGAGGACUUAACCA